CCUAGGCGCAACUUUUUGGUUGGUGCCACCCCGCCCAGGCCCUUUUUAAACUUGUUUUCCGCGGUUCCCUUCCUUUUCGACCGCGGCGCGUGACUGGGUAAGUGGGCUCCGACUUGCCGGACGCGGGAGCCGGCCAAGCGGCUCCAGGGCUCCCCCUUGCCCUUCUAGGCGCGCCCCUCGCGGCCCCCUUGCCCACCCCGGCCUCGGCUCAGCGCCGCGGGGAAGCCUCCGUUAGGGCUCCUCGGGGGUGGGGGGCGUCCUCGUGGCAGCUGGACCCUUCGUCCCGGGUUAGGACUGCCGGUGUCCUCGUGCGCUUGAAGGGGCAGCCCCCCUUCCUCGAGGAUCCCACCCCCACCCAGCAGAAGCUGCCAGGCGCCCGUCAGCGCCCGCCCCUGAGCCCCUGCGGUCAACGGAUCCGGCCUACAGGCAGCUUUUAGUCCCUUUUCAAUUAAAGAAAUGAUUGCAUUUUGAGGAUCAAAUUCCGACUGCGGGCGGAGGCGCCGAGCCCUGGACGGUCUCCGGGUUCUUGGCGCACCCGGGGUUCCAGCCUGACCGCGCGGGCUGACGUUGCCUAUUUAGGAAGUGAGAUCUGAGGUCUGAAGCGCUUUAAGAUUCCAAGCGGGGCAGUAUAAUAGUGGGGUCACCAAUCUCACGGAGGUCACUUCACUCGCGCAGCCACCAGCACCCGCCACCAGUGCCGUUCAUUUGCUACUGGCCCGCAGUCGGAUAAUUUAAAAGGCCCAGAGGGACGAGUCUUGCUGGAGCCCAGGCCAGCAGUGAGUUGAGCAGAGCCCUGUGAGCCCUAAUAAAGGAGCCUGCGGUUCCUCCUCAAGAUCUGCUUUUUCAGAGUGGCCAGAGCGUUGUACAACACAGGGCCAGCUUCCAACAUUUUCAGGGUGUGGUGGAGUUUCAAGAUGGCUGAUGAACUUAAGGUCUGGUGCUUGAAAGAAUCAGUGAAACUUUUCAAGUAGAUGAGAUGUAUUUGGAUAUGUUACCUUUAGUAUCUACAGAAUAGAGGUUGCUUUUUUUGGUUGUUCUUUUCAUAGUGGUAGCAAGGGUGAAUUUUGAGAUGGCCCCAACCUAUAAGUUUUGUGUCUCUGCCUUAUAGUUGAGUUCAUCCUGUAGAAAAUUUUUAUGGAAUUCAAUUUCAUUAUUUAAAGUAGUUUUUCUAUGAACCAGCUGUGGUCUGUAACUUGACAGUGUUAAUACCAAAGAGCAAUACAUUAAUCAUGUUCAUAUACUCAACAAAGAUGUGAUUUAACUCUUCUUAAGAUUGUUAUUUUACAAUAUAGUCUUUUUUUCUUUUUUCCUUUUGUAGUUUAUGAGAUCUGAGUCUUUUUUUUUUUAAGGCUCCACUCUUGUUUCCCAGGCUGAAAUACAGUGGUGUGAUCUCAGCUUAC